AGCAAUUGCAUGAGAAGCAAUUUGAGAGUCUUGAGAAAUCUUCUACUUGAGUGCUCUAGUGAGGAUCCAUUUAGGUGUAUUGAGUUUUUGGGUUUUGAGAGUUUUUCCCAAUUUUGUAAAUUCUCAUUUGUUAGUAAAAUUAUCUUCCAAUUUUUAUUCGUAGAUGUAGGCUUUACGUCACAUUUAUAUUUCUCUAAAAGUCGCAGUCACCAUAAUAUUGGUAAUUGCUCAACUCGUGCUUCUGCAACAAUGUCAUCAUUGGCUCAACUGGGGGAAUUAAAAUUAAGUGGUGCCACGACGUGCAAGACAUUGCCUUCUGAAGUAAAA
rnacentral:lncRNA from 1 species